AACGAACGCUGGCGGCAGGCUUAACACAUGCAAGUCGAACGCAUCCUUCGGGGUGAGUGGCAGACGGGUGAGUAACGCGUGGGAACGUGCCCUUCAGUUCGGGAUAACCCAGGGAAACUUGGGCUAAUACCGGAUACGUGCGAGAGCAGAAAGAUUUAUCGCUGAAGGAUCGGCCCGCGUCUGAUUAGCUAGUUGGUGGGGUAAUGGCCCACCAAGGCGACGCUCAGUAGCUGGUCUGAGAGGAUGAUCAGCCACAUUGGGACUGAGACACGGCCCAAACUCCUACGGGAGGCAGCAGUGGGGAAUAUUGGACAAUGGGCGCAAGCCUGAUCCAGCCAUGCCGCGUGAGUGAUGAAGGCCUUAGGGUUGUAAAGCUCAUUCGUCCGGGACGAUAAUGACGGUACCGGAAGAAGAAGCCCCGGCUAACUUCGUGCCAGCCGCCGCCGUAAUAC
rnacentral:rRNA from 1 species